GUUGCCGCAAAAUGUACUGCUUGAAAUUCCGUCUCCACCGUUGCUCGACACUGCGUGUAUAGAGCAGGUAGUGCAACAAUAGAAAAAUAGUUGCGGGAUGGCACUGUGUAGCGUUUGUCUAGGGUGUUGAUCAUUUUCCUAAAUCCCUCGUUUUGCACAGUGUUGAUGGGAGCCAUAUCUUUGGUCAGGUGAUAAGUGAUAGCCUCCGUAAUUUCUUUGUGCCUGCGGGAGUUCGACGGGUAUAGGGAAGCGCUGUAUAAGGUUCCCGUUAUUGAUGUUUGGGUGGUUGACCGGAACGGAUUUUCUCCUGUCACUUUCUCGUCAUCCCUGACGUGCUCUCCGUUGUUUUUUCCCUGCUAAUUUUAGCAUCACACGGCACAGCUUCUGUAUCACGUGGUAUAAGGCUCCGCCCUUGUCAUUUGUUGGGCAGGAAGAGUGAGCACUUGUUUUCAUGCAGAGUACGUCCCGGAUCAAAAUGCAGUACAAUCGUCGUCUUUUUUUUUUUUUCUUUUUAAUCGUUGUCAUUUGGAAAUGAGAUAGCACAUAAGUAUGAAUCGAGAUCACGAUUUUCUAACGAUUAAUCAUGCAGCCCUACUAUAUACCUGAUCUUAAAGAGUCUUUUUGAAGUUCCAGUCACUUGCAAGUGAGACCAAUUCUGUCCUGAUAUGAAUCCAUAACGGAAGUUUUAAUAAAACAUCAAAUAAGUGCUUCCCUGUGACUCAUGGAUGAGUCCCAGAGGAUUUUAAUUACAACAUGCGUGAUUCAGCUUGGAAUCAGCAUAUGAACUAGAAAACUCUCUAACUGGCAGAAAAGAUCAGAAACCUUGUUUUAUCCUAUUUAGCCUGUCUGUGUAAUAACAGGAUUACCUUAUCUCGCGUUAACAUAGAUUUUCUUUUUCCUUACACAGUAUAAAGAAAUGAAAGCGUUUAUCCUCUGGGAAGUUUGAUUUAGCUGAAUUAGUUGAAAAGAUAUUGGCAGAUGGAUUUGCAAUAGCAAAGAUCAGGAGGUCACCACUUUGAACUUUGCUGUUAAUGAUUCUGGUUCCCACAGGAUAAUAAAGAUAUAUUUUAUUACAUAUCACUGCAUUUCAU
ensembl:lncRNA